UCAUGGGUACCCACCCGGUGGCCAGGGGGGAUACCCUCCGGCAGGGUACCCGCCGCAGCAGGGAGGUUACCCUCCACAGCAAGGAGGUUACCCUCCACAGCAAGGAUACCCGCCUGCACCUGGAGCUUACCCACCUGCACCUGGGGCAUACCCUCCUGCACCUGGGGCGUACCCUCCUGCACCUGGAGCGGGAGGCCCUGACGGGGAGAAGGGGCUCCUCUCCAACAUCAUGCAUGGUGUUGCCGGUGCUCAUGGUGGUGGUCAUGGCUACCCAUCUGGUGGCCACGGGUACCCCCCGCAGCAGCAUGGAUACCCUCAGCAAGGCUACCCUCCUCAGCAUGGCUACCCACCGCAGCAGCAUGGCUACCCUCCACAGCAGCAUGGCUACCCCCCUGCUGGCUACCCUGGCUCAUCUGGUAUAUACCACUCCCUUGUUUUCCAGUCAUUGAUAUUGAUAAGGAUCUGUGCAAAGCCAUCAUAGCACCCUUUCUGUUAGCAACAUUUACAUUUCCACGAUUGAUAUGCAUUUAUAUGUGUACUAUGUGUUGGAUUGAUAUGCAUUUAGAUGUGUAGUAUGCGCUGCAUCUUCAACAGCCUGCAAUUUCAGUCUAGUAUAUGAGUGGUGGUUUAUCUUGAUGUUAACGAGCCCCAAGUUCGGUUGUAUCGAACUUGUGUCAUUCUUCAGCAUCCAUCCUCAUCGGAUAUUGUUUUU
rnacentral:lncRNA from 1 species